rnacentral:rRNA from 1 species
AAGCCACGGCUAACUACGUGCCAGCAGCCGCGGUAAUACGUAGGUGGCAAGCGUUAUCCGGAAUUAUUGGGCGUAAAGAGUGAGCAGGCGGUUUUUUAAGUCUGAAGUCAAAUCCUGUGGCUCAACCACAGUUCGCUUUGGAAACUGAAGAACUAGAGUGCGGGAGAGGUAAGCGGAAUUCCAUAUGUAGCGGUGAAAUGCACAGAUAUAUGGAGGAACACCGGUGGCGAAGGCGGCUUACCAGCCCGAUACUGACGCUCAGUCACGAAAGCGUGGGGAGCAAAUAGGCUUAGAUACCCUAGUAGUCCACGCCGUAAACGUUGAGGACCUGAUGCCGGAGUAUUUCGGUGUCGUAGCUAACGCGUUAAGUCCUCCGCCUGGGUACUACGUUCGCAAGAAUAAAACUUAAAGGAAUUGACGGGGGCCCGCACAAGCAGUGGAGCAUGUGGUUUAAUUCGUCGCUACGCGAAAAACCUUACCAGGGUUUGACAUCCCGCUAAAAGUCUUGGAAACAAGAUCAUAGUUAUAGCGGUGAAAGGUGGUGCAUGGUUGUCGUCAGCUCGUGUCGUGAGAUGUUGGGUUAAGUCCCCUAACGAGCGCAACCCUUGUCUCUAUUUGCCAUCAUUAAGUUGGGAACUAUAGAGAGACUGCCGGUGCAAACCGGAGGAAGAUGGGGAUGACGUCAAAUCAUCAUGCCCCUUAUGACCUGGGCUACACACGUGCUAC